CUUCAAUCUAUUUCCACCAUCAAAGAAGACAAGAACAUCUUGAUCAAACUUCAAAGAAUUAUGCUUCCACCUGAAAGCAACCUCGAUGCCAAGCCCACAAGAAUUUUAUGCCUGUGGAGUGACCAUCACAACAAAAAUGUGCGGUGUUAUGCAAUUGUAGUUGCUGUUAAAGUAAUUGGUUUGAAGUGUUUGCAAGAAUUCAAAACCUCUGAGGUAAGACCAUGGAAAUUUUGUUUUGUGGAUCUCCUAUUUUAGAGAUCGAUGUUUUGGUGAAGAUUCUUGGAUGGGAGGAUGGUACAAGGUCAACGAUUUAAACUGCAACCUUUCCAUAAUAGUUCAGUGAGAUUUAGGUUCAAGAGCUCAGGUGGGAGUCAUUAAAGGACUAGAUCCUAUGUCAAGGUAAUCAAGAGGUACUCUCUACAGUUAAAAGGGGAUGCAGCAAACACAUGGGAAGUGGACACUACAUUUAAACCACCUAAUGUACUUUUCAGCUGUUUUCUGGGAAGUAUGGCACAUGAUCAUUUAUUAGAGAUUAUUUAUUGCACGGUUCUGGAAAAGCUCGAACAAGUCUAGCUGCCAAGGAACAAUGAUAGUUUUGAGAUGGCUGUGAAAAUUAGUCCAGAGAUUAACAAAGAAGUUCCAGAAAUAUUAUGUGGAGGUAAUCUUGAAAGUCUUAAUUUGGAGCUGCAUUAUGGCGAAUUUAUCUUGCAGCAACUAAAGUGAUGAUUGGUGGUAUCUAGUGAUUUAAUGGGUAUUUGGAGCAAAAGAUGUUUGGAUCACUUGUAGUAUGAGAAAUCGCCAAACUGGAAUUUCAAUGAACUAGGAGUUUUCAGACAAGAAGGCGUGGAUGGAAAAUAGCCUUACAAUUGGACGCAAGUGGGAUUGCAAGAGAGGCUCAAUGGCAAAGACCUUGAUCUUGGUUGCACUCGAUUGGGUAGAAUAGUGAGUGUAGCGUAGGUUGGUUUUCUUAUCUGUGGCUGCCCUUCCUUCCACUGAUUACAAUUUUACUGGUUGGGACAAAGCCACAAGUCAUUAUAACCAAGAUGGGUUUGAGAAUUCAAGAGAGAGAAUGCCUUUCAACUGGCCUUCUUUGUGUGGACUUGGCAUCAAUUUGGGUUAAAAUCUUGCUUUCGUGAGAAGUUGGAAGAUGUGACCAUCCGGAUAUCUAUGGGGUGAGUUUCAUACUGACAUUUCCCUUAACGAAUGAAAUUUGAAUUUAAUGAUGCCAGUGAUAUUUGCCAUUUGAGCAGGGUCCUCAUACAGAUACUAUGCAGCUAUGUGACUUCCUCUAUAUGCUUUGGUG